UUAACUCACAUGUGUAUGGAGUUGGAACGUUUGCCUACGUUUCCCGCUAGGGGCGCUGUUCUAACUGCAUACAAAAUUGAGUUA
rnacentral:pre_miRNA from 1 species